rnacentral:snRNA from 1 species
AUCGGUUUUUAAUACAUAAGGAAUCAUAUAAAAAAUAUGUUUUAAAAAACUCGCAUGCUAACUUGAGAAGAUCGGACUUCUAAUUGCAGCUCAUGAUUUUCUAAAUAUAUAUAUAUAUCCAAGCGUAAAUUUCAUCUUAACUUAACCAUAUAAUAAUAAUAAGAUUAAAAUAGACUUC